AGUGAACGCUGGCGGUAGGCCUAACACAUGCAAGUCGAACGGCAGCACAGGAGAGCUUGCUCUCUGGGUGGCGAGUGGCGGACGGGUGAGGAAUACAUCGGAAUCUACUUUUUCGUGGGGGAUAACGUAGGGAAACUUACGCUAAUACCGCAUACGACCUACGGGUGAAAGCAGGGGACCUUCGGGCCUUGCGCGAUUGAAUGAGCCGAUGUCGGAUUAGCUAGUUGGCGGGGUAAAGGCCCACCAAGGCGACGAUCCGUAGCUGGUCUGAGAGGAUGCUCGGCGCCACUGGAACUGCGACACGGUCCAGACUCCUACGGGAGGCAGCAGUGGGGAAUAUUGGACAAUGGGCGCAAGCCUGAUCCAGCCAUACCGCGGGGGUGAAGAGGGCCUUCGGGUUGUAAAGCCCUUUUGUUGGGAAAGAAAUCCAGCUGGCUAAUACCCGGUUGGGAUGACGGUACCCAAAGAAUAAGCACCGGCUAACUGCGUGCCAGCAGCCGCCGUAA
rnacentral:rRNA from 1 species